UCGAGGGAUAGGAAGGUUUGGGUGGGGGUGGGGCAGGAAGACCUAGUACUGUGCUCUCCGCCGAGGUCUGUCUCUCCUCUGUUCGUGCAUCUUUGUGUGUGCCGGCAUUGUCACUGUUCUCUGUGUGUGCGUCUUGUCUCCUGUGUUCUAUUCUGUAAUCAUGGGGCAAGAGACUUCCACUCCGUUGUCCCUUAUGACUGACCAUUUUUCUGAUUUUAAGUCUAGAGCACGGAAUCUGUCGGUGCUGGUGAAGAACAAAUUAGUAACUUUUUGUUCCUCCGAGUGGCCUGCUUUUAAUGUUGGUUGGCCACAGGAGGGGACCUUUAGCCUGCCAAUCGUUUGAGCGGUAAAGGAGAAGGUGCUCGCUUCCGACCCAUAUGGACACCCAGAUCAAACACCCUACAUCCUAGUCUGGCAAGAUUUGGUGGAAAGUCCACCAGCCUGGCUGAAACCUUUUACUUCCCCAUCCCCUACCUCAUUAGGCCCACAGGUACUUGUCGUGGAGGCAUCCAAAGAGGAAGAGCAUAAAGAUCACCACAGCUGGGCGAAGCCAGUAUUCCAGGAAUCCUCACUAUAUCCUAAUCUAAUUGACCUGGAAACCGAUCUCUCCCCACCCCACUAUGUACACCUGCCUUUGCCCCCUCAGGUACCACAGAUUUCUUCCGGAGGAGCACGAAGGGACACCGAACCUUCAGCCCCAACCCAGGAAGGGGGCCCUGCCCAGGCGACUCGAGGAAGGACCGGGGGGGUCCUCGGUUUGGCAGACGAAGGCGACCCGGAGGCCCCCACCUCAACGGUCCGGGCGCUCCCUGUUCGGGUGGUGCCCGCCUGCCCGGACGGAGAACAGACAUUCCAAUACUGGCCCUUUUCCACUAGUAAUCUGUAUAAUUGGAAGACCCAAACCCCUUCGUUCUCAGAGAAGCCCCAGGGCCUGAUUGAUCUCCUGGAAUCUAUCCUUUUCACACAUAAUCCCACUUGGGAUGACUGUCAGCAGCUGUUGCAGGUGCUCUUCACCACAGAGGACCGUGAGCAGAUCUUGUCAGAGGCACGGAAAAACGUUCCAGGGGUAGACGGAAGACCUACCAUGCAGCCUAAUCUAAUUGAUGAGGGAUUUCCCCUGACGCGACCCCACUGGGAUUUUGAGCGUGCUGAAGGUCGACGGCAUUGGACCCUGGGUGCACGGUAACCACGUGCGCCGUGCCACUCCAGAAGAACAAGAGACGGCCGGGAGAGAAUGGAAGGUCACACUGCAUCCCUCCAAUCCUCUAAAAAUGAAACUCAUCCGUCAGGUCCCGGACGAAUCACUUUGAUCCUCCUGAUGGUAGCUGUCCUCUUCGACCCUGGGACAGCCAACUCCAACCCGCAGCAACCUGCCAGGAUCACCUGGACACUUCGGAACGGACUGACUCACGAGGUACUCAAUUUGACCACUGGAAUUCACCCCCCCAACACGUGGUGGCCAGAUAUGUAUUUUAGCCUUAAAGACCUUAUAAAGACUACUUGGGCAGCGGCCCAGACCCGAACUUCGGAUUCUGGGCAUGCCCUGGACACUUAAAAAAACACAAUUGGGCGACUUGUGGGGGGCCACAACAUUAUUUCUGUUGGUCCUGGAGCUGUGUGACCUCCAAUGACGGCAGGUGGAAAUGGGAGGUAGGGAACCGGGACUUGGUCAACUUUUCGUUCGUCCAACCCUAUCGCGGACCUUGGGACCGGGAUUACCAGGACUUGCUCGGGAACUAUGUCGGGCCGCGCUGGAAGCAGCGCUGGGACCCGAUUGCCCAGGUGAAAGUAAUGUUCAAUCAGAAGUCGGCUAAACUAGAAAGGUCCUGGGUUUCCGGGCUGACGUGGGGUCUCCAACUCUACGCCGAGUGGUUUGAGUCUAAGCCUGGGGGAAUCCUGGUUAUUAGCCAGACAGUAGAACCCAUCCAGUCCCAAGGUGUGGGCCCUAAUCAGGUCGAAAAUCCAGGCCCACAACAAGUAAUUAAGGCACACCCAACUCAGGGGGCUGCAACACUGAGCCCUAUGCCCUCUGUUUCUCGGCCAGGGAACCAGCUCAAUGAAACAGAGGCCCUCGGCCCCUUGUCCUCCAUCGCCAACUUAAGAACGUCAGACCCAUUAUGAGAUCUAGUUAAGGCAGCCUUUGCAGCCCUAAAUCAUUCUAACCCAGGUGCAACUCAAUCCUGUUGGCUCUGUUAUACUCUUUACCCUCCCUUUUAUGAAGCAAUAAGCUUAAAUGUUUCUUACAACCUGUCCACCAGCACAAAUCCAUCUCAAUGUCACUGGGGAGAAUGUAGGGUCGGUCUCACAAUGAGAGUAGUUUGGGGAAGGGGACUUUGCUUAGGUACUGUUCCACCUGAAAAGACCUCCUUGUGCGCCCAAACAGCCGAUCUUACAAGACUAGAUAAAACAAAAUGGAUUGUGCCUGAGGCAGGAGGUUGGUGGGUCUGUUCACAUACCAGGCUGACUCCGUGUUUACAUGCAUCAGUUUUUAAUCAGAGUAGAGAGUUUUGCAUAUUGGUGGCUGUAAUGCCCAAAAUCUUAUACCACCCUGAAGAAGUUAUGUACAACUAUUGGGCUGGAGAGACAACAAAUCAGUUAGGAGAGAAAAGAGUUAGGAGAGAACCCAUCACAGCCAUCACUUAAGCAACUAUUUUCAGUCUUGGGAUCGCCGGAACAGGAACCGGGAUAGCUGCCUUGUCUCUCCAAGGUCAAGGGUUCACUUCCUUGUGGGCAGCUGUAGAUGAGGACAUCACACGCAUAACACAAUCAAUUAGUCACCUAGAAAAAUCACUAACUUCCCUGUCCGAGGUAGUCCUACAAAACCGAAGGGGGUGAGAUCUGAUUUUCCUACAACAAGGGGGACUCUGCGCGGCUCUGGGAGAAGAAUGUUGUUUUUAUGCAGACCUCACCAGGGUAGUAAGAAAAUCUAUGGCCAAGGUGAGGGAAGGGCUGGCCCAAUGGAAAAGAGAGCGGGAGGCCCAACAAGGAUGGUUUGAGUCCUGGUUCCAACAGUCUCCGUGGUUAACAACGCUGAUUUCCACCCUGGUGGGCCCUCUUAUAGUGCUAUUAUUAAAACUCACUUUUGGCCCGUGUAUCCUAAAACAAAGCAUCAAUACAGUCCAACUACUCAUACUCAGGCAACAAUAUCAGGCCUUGCCCCAAAAUAAAGAGGAAGAUUCCUCUGUAUGAUCAAAAGACAGGGGGGAAUGUUAGGACCUAACCUGAGCCAUGACAGGCUCAGCAAGCUGCACUAGGCCUAAAAGUGUCGGAUUCUCAUAGACCUGAGUCAUGAUUCUGGGAACUAUACCCCCGAGCCAAUCAGGAGAGUUCCCAUCCGCGCCAAGCUUGAGCCAAUCCGGAUAGGAAUGCAGGAUUCAAAAUUCACGCACGCGUACAGCUUAGCCAGUCAUCACACGCCAGCUACACUGUUGCUGAGACAAAGAACCGCCUGUAUAAAAGCAGUUCUUACUCAAGAACUCGGGGCUCUUGUCGGAUUCCACUGCGCUGGAUGAGACCUGAGCCCUAGCUCCAGCUAGCAAUAAAAUCCCUUUAUGUUUUUGCA